rnacentral:rRNA from 1 species
AUGCAUAGCGAUACCACGUUUCAGGUGUUAGUCAAAUGGGCUGACAGGUUCAUAAUCUCAAUGGCACAUUAUGUUUUCUCUGUAUCGGCGGAGUCGGGAGAUGGACCUUUUGUCAAUGAUGAGAAUAUUACUUUCAGAACAUUUAGUCUGAAUAUCUUAGCACACAUCUGUCUGAGAAUUGAGAUAUAUACAUCAAUAUCGCUGCCAAAACUGGCUUUUGGUGCCAAACUCAAAUAUGCGUUCACUAAUUUCAGCUUGGAGGAAGUUCCUGUCCAGGGCGACCCAGUGUUUGCCUUUCGUGGAAUUGUUCGCCUUUCCUUCCUUGACUGUUGA